UUUGUCUUCAAAACUGGCCUUGAGGAUCCAGGUUGCUAUGGCAACCCUGGAGCAAGGCCUUCCCUUCCUUCCAUCUUGGGAGCCCUUGUUGCUAUAACGACCAACUGUAGGGAGAGGAGGAGAUCCACUCAGAGGAGGGAGGGCCAUGCUCCUGCCAAGCCUCCACAAGUCACUGCUCCCUGGUAACCAGCAGGUUCAGCGUACCUGGUGAUGUAGAGGUCUUUGAUCCAGUUGGAGCUGACUUUUGAGGGUGCUGUACACAGUUGUUCCACACAUGGGAAGCAGGAGGCCGGAAGCCUCUGGACGAAGCCCGGAAAGCUUUUCAGGCUGGGAGCCUGAGUCCCUCCAGCCACCAGCUUCGGUGGGAACAGCAGCAGCUCCGACUGGCUUCUCCUUCAGCUCUGCAUUCUGGUUGGUUGUCUCUGCCCAUCAGCGGCCAGCUCCAGGCCUGGUCCCACCCCAUCUGCCGCACUGUCACCCGGGAUUGGAUGAGCUCCGCAAGGCGAGGCUGCCUUGCCUCUCGCCAUCAGAUUCUUCAUUAAACAAAUGAAUCACAAUCCUAAUUAAUUUGAGCAACAGAAUUUAUGUAACUACUCCCAGCAGGAUGUCUGCUCUCAGUCGGUAGCGAGAUUAAUUCCUCUCUCUGGGAAAUUCCAGCCGCGCUGGUCAAUAAAACCUUAAUGAUGACAGAAAUUUCCCAUCUGUCUCUGCCCUGAGCAGGUAACCCCUGCUACCUAGACAAGAGAGAGGACAAGGACGGUGAGAUACUGUCAUCCUGACAGUCCUGACACACCUAGGACACACACUAGGCGCCAACUAAGGACAAGACUGCCAAACCAGGCUUGUCCUGAAUUACCUACACCCCAAAGGAGGUGUUUAACUUCUAUUUGUGGAAUGAAUAAAAAGUAUGUGUUGCUCGGUGUGUUGCUUAGAAAAUGGCCCCAAGGGCCAGUGAUGUGACUCAGCUUGUUGCUUUCUGCUAAGUCUCACAUCCUGAGUUGGAUGCCCGGGACCCACAUGGUAGGAGGAACCAAUAAACUCCUUCCAGGUUUAUUCUGACUUCUGCCCAUGCAAUCACAGCAUACACGCUAUCUCCCGCCCCCAAUGACUUUAAAAUUAAAAUGGUCUUAGAUUCAGAAUUGCAAACACUCCUCUGCUUCCCCUCCCUUUCCUUUCCACACCUAAUUUUGCCUUUUUAUUUUGACUCUUCUGGCCUGCAGAUUGGGCCUUGAUGUUCAUCUUCCUGCCCUUGAACUAUUCAUCCCUCUCUGAAACAGGCCUUUUGCUCUCCACACCAGGAGAGUAUCUAAGUGAAAAAUGGUUUGGAAUUAGUUUUCAUUUCGACUCCCCCUACUUAUCUGAUACCAACCUUCACCUCCUAUGCAAAGUUCCUGGACUUCUUUGGGCAGACAAAGUACUGUGAAAAUGUGUCAGGGGGUGUCUGACUCAUUUAAUUAUUAACGGGCGGUGUUUUAGGCAGCGGUGCGCAAGACAACUGGUUUCUAGGUUGCAAUAAACAGACAGGCACAGCAUCCUUUUAGUGAGACUACAGGGAGGGAGGGGCUUGUUGAGGGCCCCAGGCUGGUUCUCAGCCAAGGGCUGUUAUAGAAAGAGCAAGUCAGGCUCUACCCUGCUCUUUGCUUUGUUACUUUUAGAAGAGUUGCUGCCGCCGUGCCCCCUGCCACCACACCAUCUCCAGAGGGUGGCCCCAUGGUGCCACCCACUCAAGAUGUGAUCAUUGAGCCUCCAAAGCUGUGAGCUAAACAAGCAUUUUCCUAUAAAGCUGCUUUCUUUAGGCAUUUUACUGUGGUAACCAUAGUAACCAGAGAUGGAGGCAUACAACCCUCUUAAGCCUCUCGGGUCCAUGCUCAUUGUAGUGCAAGAAAAGAUUCAGUGGAGAAGAGGAGUGGAGAGGAAAUUGGAUGCUACAUUUUAAAGCAAGGUAGCACUUUAGACACGAAUUCUCUUUGUAUACAUAUAUAUAUAUAUACAUAAAAUUAAAAAGAAAAAAAUUUUUUAUAUUACGUUUUUGUUUAAUGUGUGUGCUCCUGUCAUGGUGCAGGAGUGAAGGUCAGGACAACUUGGAGUAGAGCCAGCUUUCCUCCUUCCAGCAAAGCCUCUCAGCAUCCCCUCACCCAUCCCCAUUCCUUCAUGUCAGUCCCAGUACCUAGAAACACUUUCUACCUGGGACCCUGGCACCCACCUGCCAGCGACUCACACUCUCCUUCCUACCCUUCUUUCUCACCCACAGCCUAGUAAUAGCUCAGCUCGCUUGCCAGUGACCCUCCUCCCACUUUCACGUCAUUCACAGGAGACUCCUCCCACUUCACUGGAGACUCCUUCCACUCUUGCUUCAGACCCAGGAAUUCCCCAGCCCCAGCAUGCCUGUCUCUCCAGAUAACUCUUUGCUUUACCGUAACCUACUCUUAGGAUCCUCUCUUCCCACCACAUCUCCAACUCACUGUGUACCUCCAGAUGUGGACAGGAUCCCUUUAGCUCUUCCGGAAGCCCCUCUCAGACUUCUCUUAGUCCACCUCUACUCCUCUCUGCCACCCGCCCCAAGCUGCAUAAGCACUCCCUACCAGGCAACCUACAGCCCACCACACUCUCCCAGGACCCCCUGAGGCGCCAGUGGUAACCAAAGAAUAGAAUACCCAAUCAACCAAGACUAGACCAGGUGUAGUCACCUAGAAUCGCCUCAAUCAUCCCUAGCCCAGAUGCCUAGACACCGAUGCAAUAACACAAACACCAACAGGACUGUUUGGCUCCACCAGAAGCUAGCAACUCUACUGCAGCAGGCCCUGAGGAAUGCAAUGUAGCUGAAGCUCAAGACAAGGACUUCACAAUAGCUAUUAUGCAUACGUUCAAGGACCUUAGAAAAAGUACAAAUGAAUCCCUUAAGUCUGUGAAAACAAGACAGUUAAAUGAAAUAACGGAGCAAUGGAAUCAAUGACAUGCAAAUAUAACUAAGAGAUGGAAUCACUGAGAAAAAGUAAGACUGAGGUAAAGCUAGAAAUAAAACGUUUAGAAAAUAAAACAAAAACCUCAGCGGUAGCCCUUAGCAACAAGAGGUGGAAGAGAGAAUCUCAUGUGUUGA
rnacentral:sRNA from 1 species